ACGGUAUCACUGCAAUGACAACUGAUAUAAAACUAUGAAAUUUUAUCAUAUUAUUUUCAUUUGUAAGCAUUUUUUGCUUUGUCUUUUGAUAGACUGUUGGUGCACUAUGUUGAGACUCUUUUAUACCAUUAUUAAGCUAUAGUAGAUAUUUAUUUUGCUUGAAAGUCCUAUGAAUUUUUCUCUUGCUUUGAUUAUUUUUCCACAUUAAAAUUCAUAUCAUAUUUAUUUAAUGAACUAGAUUUUGGUCUUAUCAAUUAUCAUGUGACCUCAUUUUCCUUAUCUAUUCUGACAAUAUUUAUGGUUUCUUUCUUUCUUUUUUGUGAAUAAUUUACGAUUACCAUUUAUUACUCAAUCCAUAUUCAUGGUUUGAAUAUUCUAUGUGCAAUUUUAUUUUUUUUGGGCAAAUUUGGUGAAACCAUAGAAUAUUAUGGAGUGUAAUAUAUGGUACGGAUUAUUAUAGGUUUUUUUCGAAGGGAUGAUGAAUCAAAAGAUGAUGCUAUCCUAUAAUUUCAUAAGCUUCUACAAAGAGCUCUUUUGACAAUUGCAAACAUGAAAAAUAUCCAAAUAUGAUUUUAGAUCUGAAAAAAUAAAAAAAUUAACUCAGUUUUAAAUAUUUGGGGAUUUCUAUGGUACACCCGUAAAUUACGGUCUACCGGUACUCUCACUUACAAUUUUUAUAAAUUAACUAUCAUUUUUUAUGAAGAAAAUAGGUGUUUGUUGACAUAUAUAUUUUAGAAAAUAUUAUUUUAUAUGAAAAAAACAUCAUUUC
rnacentral:lncRNA from 1 species